ACCUUCACGGCGUCACACCCGUUUGGAGUGAGCGAACCAGGCCAUCAGACUGUCAGAGACACCAACGCUCGCCCCGCCCCCUCCUGUCCUGCCCAAGCUGACCGAUGGCGGCCGCGGCGCCGGUGUACCGGCGGGUGCUCAAGGCGGUGCAGAAGCACGUCGGCGGGGGCGCCUCCAAGCAGCACUUCCGGGACUUCGUCGCCGCCGAGUUCCGCGCCCCCGCUGGCACGGAGGCCGACGCCAGGGCGAGGCUGCGGCUCGCCGGGGACUACGCCUACCUUCUCACCAGCGUCCAUCACCACAAGGACCUGCUAUUCUCAUACAACAUUGCUGUGGACCGAUCUGAUGAAAUGAAGAAGAUAUUGAACAAAUCUGCUGCCAGUGUAGGCCUUCAGCUUCCAGAUGUCUACCAGCCUUGAAGGCUUCUGUUGUGCACCUUCUGCAGAUGCUUGGGUGGAAGUUAUAUUCGGACUAUCAAUUUCAUUAAGAUCGUCCUCGCUUGUUUCAUCGUUGCAUGCUGCGGUAGCUGUUGCAGAUGUUCCAGCACCUUCAUUUCCCUGUGCCCAAGCUGAAGGAAAAUGCACUGUUUUUUCACCCCCAAUCCUGUUCUUGUCCUCUGAGCUAUCUUCAAAGGAACCAUAGUCUAUGUUCUGAAGUACUGUUGGGAUCUGCACGCCCCCAAGAAGUACUUCUUUGUUUUCCCUGUCUAGAUCAAUCUUCUCCCUUGGGCUUGUCACAUCCAGCUCAAUGUAUGGAGUGUAGAAUCCAGCUUCAAGUGCACCCUCACCGACCCACGAAUGGAAAUUGGUCAUUGGAGGAGGUAUCUUGGUAAAGAACACUUCCGCAAAGUUUGCUGCAAUUCUCUUUCGCAAAAGGAAGUAAACUACCUGAUUAGUGCCGAUCAGAUAUAGAUGGAAUACGGUGAGGCCACCGACAAACCAAACAACAAUGGAAGUAUAUAUGAUUAGCGCAAAAGAGUAUGCUUCCUUGCGCAAGGCCAUCCACAUGGAGCCACCAUUGUCUUCCAUUUGGCUGUAGACACUCAGCCAUGCAAAAAUAAAGACGAAUAUGCACAGGAAAGUUGAUGUCGCUAUGAAAAGGAAGAAGUAGCGGUAAUUCCUCUGCAAGGAACAUGAAAACAAAUGGUUCAGGAACAGCUUAAAAUGAGAUAAAUACAAGGUGCUGUAAUGAAGACUAAGCUAGGUUUGGGCCCUUGCAGUCUCUUACUAAAGCAAAAUUCAUUCCACGGCUUACAACAGUCUCUUAAUAGUAACGAGUUUCUUACUUACAAGUCCAAUGCACUGACCAACCCAUGGGCAGUGGUGGUCAAACUUGUGGACACAGUUGUUGCAGAUGGAGCAGUGUGAGGAUCGUGGCGGGCGGUACCGCAGGCAGGUCUCGCAAAACUUCACCUUCACCGUGAAGCCAUUCACAAUGACGUCCUUGGUCCGGCGAAACCUCAUCCGUGGGGUUCUCCCAUCACUCCAGUCCAUGGAUGGUGUGUUGGAGCCAAGCAGUAAUUCAUCAGCUUCAGGUGGUGCUCUUGUGUUCCUUGGUACUAUUCCUGGGUCUCUUGCAGAUGUCAGGAAGAGGAAGACCAGGUCCUGCAUGAGGCCAAGGUGACCUGGAUUAUUUCUGCUUUAAGCUCUUGUGGAAAUUGGUAUGUUUAAUACUUUAAUCUUGAAGAACUGUUGAUCACAGAUUCAGAUAUCAAGUAGUAGCAACUUGUUGGCAGCAUGAAUACUGACCACAAUCGUGGUGAUGAUGACUAUCAACACUGCUGCUUGAUGCAUAUGCUGUUGGCCAGUACUACUAGAGUGGUGGAAUUUGGCUUUCAUCUGGUAGCAGAAGAUGAUGCUUGGGCUGAUGAUGAGGAACGUCGUGAGCAGCAGGGAUGCGGCAUCUGGUCCGAAUAUCAGCCGGCCACCGCACAGGAAUAUCUGCAGAUUGAGGAAGCAGGUUUGUCAGUAAAUUCUGCUCCAUUGGUGGCAACGUUUGAAGAACUCCCAAAUCAUCUGAAGUUUGUAGGGCAGGCAUCCAUCUGAAGUUGUACAGUUGCCUCAUGGGCGCAGGCUUUGCCUCUGAAGAACAAACUACUGGAAAAGGAGAGAAGAGGAGGAGAAUCGAGCAGUACGUUGUUCCCCUUCCAGGCUUGGUAGAGCCUCCUGGGCUUGGCCUCCGGCUGCUGCUGCUGCUGCGGUGGUUCAUCUUCGGGCUCUGGCUUCAUGAUAAUGCCCUCUGCUCGCUACUGCUGCGUGAAGUUCGGAUUCUCUCACGAGUCAUGACAUGGUGACGAGAAGGAAAUGUGUGUCUGCUUUGCUUUCAACGGAUGGCCGGAGCAGAAGCAUUGUUGUUGCCGUAGGAAGGAGUACGGAUCAUUGGCACGUUUGCUCACACGCUGUACUGCAGGCCAAUAACUGGAUUACCCUUUUUAAUUUAAGGAGUCCCCAAGGACGAGACAAGGGAUGCCCUGUGCUGUGAGCAUACAGGCAUAGGAGUUAGGCCGCUUGAUUUUGUCCUGUCCCGUCCAGCUCUCUUGUGUUUGGUUAGGUAGGUGUAACUUGGUUGACAAACGAAAUGGGACGGGCAGGGCGGCGAUGCCAGUCUUGUCCUGCCGCGAUCCCCGUUGGAAAUGGAAGCUGCUUUGCCAAUUCACACAGCCUUAUACUCCGGCAAGAGCACGCCGGCCAAAAGGUAAGAACUGAGGCAGGGCUCCGUCUGCUCUCUCUCGAGUGGCAGUUGGUAACUGUAAACUACAUGUACACUUGUUUGAUUCGCUGGAAUUAUCCUGGAAUCGUAUAGUACAAUGUUAAUUGUGCUUCCUUGUGCAACAUCAAUGAUCAUGCACAUACGUUGUGCCAUUGGUUCU